UUAAAAAGAGAUGAAAAUGGCAGAUAUAAAUCGGGCUUUCUUUUCACCUCUGUUUGUGGAGAAUUCUAGACCAAGUGAGAGUAAGAGAGAGAGAGAGAGAUCGUCCUUCACUUGCUUCCUCCAUCCAUCGUUUGCCGCCGUUCAGAUCGUCAGUCAUGCGAGCGAGUGCUGUGGUUCAAGUAUCUGAUGCUUGGUCGAUCACCCUGUCAGCCUCCUAAUCCUUCUGUGUCAUUAAUUCAAUUCCAUCUUCUUCCUUCCCUGCAAUUUGUCGCUGUCAAUCGCUGCCAUGGUGGGGAUUGUGUUAAACUCAUAGCUUCUUCCAUUCUACUUGUUGCCAUCAAAAAUUAUGAGUGGCAGGAAACUUCCUCCUUGAUCCCCCUCUGUUUGUGUGCUAUUGCGUGUGUGCUGCCAUAGUUCGUGAUUUUUUUUCAAUUCCUGUUGAUCUUUCCCAUUUCUUUUGUCGGUAAUUCUAAGACCAGCCGAGAGAGAGAGAGAGAGAGAGAGCGAGAGCGAGCUUAGAUCUUCCCGUACUCGACUUUCCUUUAUUUCUUCCGCCGUUUACUAUCAUCACUGGUGAUAUGGAUAAGCCAGAAAAGAAAUUCUCACCUCCUCUGUUAUUCCGUGCUGACACAGUUCUUCUAUUCCCACGCAUCACCAUCCUCCUCCUCGUCAAUUCUCUGUCUCCCGCCUAGUCUCUUUGCUGUUGGUGUGUGUGAAGUAUUGAGUUGCCUGAGGUUGUGGGUGAUCGGGAAAAAGAAAAACUUCCUUCUUAUUCCUUCUCUGUCGGUGGGUCAUUGUAGGUGCUGCCAAGGGUGCUUGAGCUUCUUCUUCCUUUACUUCUAUCGACUCUUUUCCUCUUCCCCUUCUCUAUCGUUGCCAGCUCAGGAGAUUUGGAGAAGGGACACCAUUGUUGAAGUAGCAAAGAAGAUUCAUUUAAAGUUAUAAAGGGUGACUUUUAACAUUUGAAAAUAUCUCAGGUAAGUGGAUAGCGUCUCAACUGAUUUUUUUUUCAAUCAAAAUUUCUUUUACUAAAAUAUUACGUUUUUCUGAAAAUUAUUUUAAUAGCAUUAAAGCAAUUAUUGGAUAUUUGUUAAUUAACAUUUUUUUAUUUUGAGAAAUCAGCUUUACCAAAUUUGAAAUGUUAUUUGAUCAAUUAAGUCAAGUUUGAUUUUUGAUUAUGAAAUUUUUAUUUUAUCAAAUAUUGGAUUGAUACAGAGAAUGCUUGAUGCGAGUUCGACGUUGAAAUUUUUUUUUAUUCAAUAAAUGCAAGCAUGAGUAUCAGAUAUGAAAUUUGAUUCUGGAAAGUUUUAAUGCUUAAAAGUAUUUAUGCGAGUUUUGAUUUUAAGAAUGAGAAUUGUAUCUUGAAAAUGAUGAUUUUCUCGUAUAUUUGAAAAUGGUUUUAAAAGGAACUUCAUAUAGAACACUGGUUGCUAAUGGCGAUUCCGUUAGCCCUUAGCACGCCAUGACACACCUAGCUAGCAGGGUGUUUAUAGGAGGUGCUAGCCCUGUGCGAUGGCCAACGCACGUGGAAUGAAGGGAUGGUAAUUCGUGAGCAUCGUACUCAUGUUUGUUUCGUGGCUUCAAGCCGCAUUUGAUUAGCAUCAUCCUCGUAGGCUGUGUGUCCACGUUUGUUUUUGUGGCUUUGGCUGCGUUUGAUUCCUUAUCCUCAUAGACUGUGUGUUCAUGUUUGUUUUCGUGGUAUAAGCCGCGUUUGGUUAGUUACUCUCAUGGAUUGUGUAUCCACAUUUGUUAAUUGUUCUGAUAAGUCCCUAUAAUUAUGAAUCCAAUUAUUUGAUAAUUUUAUAUUC